rnacentral:lncRNA from 1 species
GUAUACUCGCCGCAGUCAACCACCUGGGUUCUCAGGAUUUCAAGGCUGGAGAUAUACUUUGAAGAUCGAAUAGAACACUUGUCACUCUCAUAAAUUUCUCGGCCAGCUUUAAACCACUGGAACCGGACAUUGGGAGCACUUUGGAUCUCACAGCAUAUAAGCAUUAGAAGACAGGACUCAAGUGUCUGCUGGCUGUAAAAAUACUGGAGAAACUCAUCUAUAGCAUGCAGAAUACAUAUUCAGUCAUUGUGUACAAUGCAGCUGUAUAGUCCUUGGUCUACCAGCUGAACAUUACAUAUGACUCAGGUUGGCUGUGCUUGAUACUUGGCCUACAGCAUUACUAGCAACAAACGUCUUCUUCCUUUGGUGAACUGAAUGAGGCACCAGGAUACACAUGAACUGCCACUGGACAUGAACUGCACACAAUAAAAACCCGGCAUUGAAAACGGGCUGGCUGCCCUUCAGAAGUGACAGUGUCCUGAAGCGGGGUGAUGAUGGCAGGUGGAUAAACAGGCAUUUCCUGAUC